CAGUGCUUCCAAUCGCUGAACUGAACUGGAAACAAAUCAACAAGGGAAACCAAGAGAUGCAUUCCUUGAAGUUCAGCCUCCUGGCCUCAAGUAAGGCAGAGGAAGAGAAUACAUAGAUCUGUGGAGAAGAGUGGUGAUGGUGGGAGCUGCCAAUAAAGAACUAUCAAAAAAGGAUGAUGCAACAGAAAAGCCGUCACCAGAUACCAGCACCUUAAUGUUGGACUUCUCAGCCUCCAGAACUGUAAGAAAUAAAUCCCUGUUCUUUAUAAAUUACCCAGUCUCAGGUAUCCUGCUAUAGCAGCACAAAAUGGACUAUGAUAGAAAAUUGGUAUGAAGGAGUAGUACCAUUGUUAUAACAAAUACCUAAAAAUGGAAGCCACUCUGGAACUUGGUAAGGGGUAGAGUAUGGAAGAAUUUAGAGGAGCAGGCUAGAAAAAGCCUAAAUUGCUGUGUAUUACUCCAGGAUGGUAAGAAAUAAAUCUCUGUUCUUUAUAAAUUGCCCAGACUCACAGCACAAAACAAAUUAAGACAUUAAGAUUUGCCCCAUUCUUAGAAUUCAUUUCUUCCAUUUUCCCUUUAAUUAAAUCAAUGCCAGCAUCUAA
rnacentral:lncRNA from 1 species